CGGGUGAGUAAUGUCUGGGAAACUGCCUGAUGGAGGGGGAUAACUGCUGGAAACGGUAGCUAAUACCGCACAACGUCGCAAGACCAAAGAGGGGGACCUUCGGGCCUCUUGCCAUCGGAUGUGCCCAGAUGGGAUUAGCUAGUAGGUGGGGUAACGGCUCACCUAGGCGACGAUCCCUAGCUGGUCUGAGAGGAUGACCAGCCACACUGGAACUGAGACACGGUCCAG
rnacentral:rRNA from 1 species